rnacentral:rRNA from 1 species
GACGAACGCUGGCGGCGUGCCUAAUACAUGCAAGUCGAGCGGACUGAUUAAGAGCUUGCUCUUAUGACGUUAGCGGCGGACGGGUGAGUAACACGUGGGCAACCUGCCCUGUAGAUCGGGAUAACACCGAGAAAUCGGUGCUAAUACCGGGUAAUAUCUGAGAUCACAUGAUUUUAGGUUAAAAGAUGGCUCCGGCUAUCACUACAGGAUGGGCCCGCGGCGCAUUAGCUAGUUGGUAAGGUAAUGGCUUACCAAGGCGACGAUGCGUAGCCGACCUGAGAGGGUGAUCGGCCACACUGGGACUGAGACACGGCCCAGACUCCUACGGGAGGCAGCAGUAGGGAAUCUUCCGCAAUGGACGAAAGUCUGACGGAGCAACGCCGCGUGAGUGAUGAAGGGUUUCGGCUCGUAAAGCUCUGUUGUUAGGGAAGAAACAGUACCGAACGAACUAGGUCGGUACCUUGACGGUACCUAACCAGAAAGCCACGGCUAACUACGUG